UAUUAUUCCCUGACUUGCUCCACUCUCAUCACACCCACUUUGACCUUGUCUUUCUUGACUGAAUUGUUCUUGAUUGAUCGAACUCUGCAAGGUAUUAUUUCUUCCGAUUUGGCAAAUGUAUCGAUGGAUUGGCUUGCUUUUUUAUUCAAAAAACACAACAACUAUAUUUGAUUAUGUACUUGAAUAAAAAAAGACAGAACAACUAUAUUUGAUUGCUGAAAUUAGUGACGAUGAGCAAGAAAGAAAGAGCACAAUCCUCAUUCAUGGCACUAAAGAGGUACUUGGUUUCCAGAAUCAAUCGUGUUAAGAAGAAGCCUCGCAGGUCAUCUUCGAGUAAGAGGAGUUUCUCGAGAAGGUAAAAACGGGGACUUUGAAGUGGAUUAAUCAAGAUUAGAUGGCGGAGGUCAGAGCAGAGAAUAAUUCCGUGAAAUAGCACCUAGAGACGAUACAGACGGAGUUUGAGGAUCUCAGAUCUGAUAUUGCACAAAGGAGGGAUGUCAAUAAGCAUGUGAUCAGCACCCUCCAGUUGGUUGAUCUUAUCCUUACUGGGUGAAAAUGAAGAACCUCCUGCCGAGAAGACUCUCAUAAACCCCGAAGCCAUCACGCUACCGAGAUGGUCUCGAACUACAGCUCCCACUCCCCCUUCUUUUUUUCUUUUUUUUUUUGAUAAGCAACUUAUGGUUCUUUCUUGUCUCUCUUGUUGCUAGUUCGGGAGCUGUAACAUAGCAUGGAGCAAGUCUCUUCUGAUUCAAGGAAGACCAACACAACAUAUGUACCUUAUACUGUUUUUAUUAUGUAUCCAAUAGUGUUUCUCAGUCUUCGUCAAUCGUACAUAUUACGUACAUGCUCUAAAUUCUAUUGCAUCCAUGGUUCGUGGCUUCUUGAA